GGCUGUUUGUUGCUGUUAUGGUUUUGAUCAUCAUGGAUUGUGCAGCUCAGUCCCAUCUGCUGAACCCAGGGACAGUUUUUUCAGAUUACAGCAGAGAAUCAUAGAAUCAUUAAGGUUGGAACAGAUCAUCUCAUCCAACUGUUGAUGCAUCACCACCAUACCACUAAACUAUCUUCCUCAGUGCCACGUCCACACUGUUCUUGAACACCUCCAGGUACAGUGACUGCCACUUCCCUGGGCAGCCUGUGCCACUGCCUCAUCAUUUUUUCAGGUAAGAUUUUCCUAAUAUCCAACCUGAACUUCCCCAGAGCAACUUGAGCAAGGGCAGGUUUCCACCCCUUUGCAUUUGGAAGACCACUGGCAGCAAUUAUUUUUCUGGAGAACAAUUAGUUAUGCCUGCAGUGUCGCCAAAAUAUUGGCCUUCAAGUGGACCAUGACAUAGCCAGGGCUGAAUGGGCCAUGGAGACCAUGCUGCUCCCUGGGGAGGCACCUGCUCUGUGUCCUCUGAGAGAUGACAGGAAGAUCACCCAUGCAGUGGGAAGCUGGGAAACACAAGCAAUUUCCCAUUUUCCCUUGAUAGCUAGGCUUUGUUGAAUGACUUUAUUUUUCCACCCAGAGUCAAGCAGCCUGGAGUGUUACUUUGUGCUGAAUGUUGUGACUUGCAUCAGAGCUAAGCGUAAGAGGAGUACUGCUGCACUGAGCUGGUGGCUUGUUGCCUGAUUUAAAUAACUACAUGAAGUGCAAGGCUGGCAUUAGUCCCCACAGUUGCUACCACUUUGGAAAGUGGCCAUCUAUUAGAGGCUACUGUUGGUUCCAUGUAAAAUUAGUGGGAGCUGGAACUAAAAGUCCAGAUAUGGAGAUGGAAGAAAGCACAAAAAAAUGAAGGAUGACAGGGAUGCAAGCUACGGGACCUCAUGAUCACUUUGCUUUCUUCGGAAAAUCCUGCUAACUCCUGUAGGAAUGCUGGCUAUCUUGCAGGGUGUAUCACUGAGGGGCAUGUUUAAACCAAGAAGAUGGCUGGCUGCUUGGAGGACAUGCAUGCAGAGAUGGGGGAACCAGGACAGGAGACAGUUGUGAGAAGUGUGCAUGGUGAAGUCACUGAGAUCACACAGGCAUCACAGGCAUAAGAAAUAUUGUGAGAAAGGGGCUGAGACAGGACAUGGCAGGAUGCUUGAGCAGAAAUGUGAUCGCAGCAUGAAAUGUGAAAUGUAUGUCUAUUUGUAACUUGAGUCCAUUAUGGAAAACUGUGUUGUCUAAGAAGAUGAGGACAGCAUUAUUUGAUGCCAAGGGAUUUGCUGCAUAUGGUGUUAAAUAAACCAUCUUCCUGUCGUACA
rnacentral:lncRNA from 1 species